UGUAAAUUUUUUUUGCAGCAUUAUGAUUACUAUGUAUUGCUCUUCAUUCUUUUUCUCUCUGUUUAAUUUCUGACUACACCAUCCUUUGCCCUAUUUUCUGUCUUGACCUUCUCUUAUCCUCUCCCCUUCCUACUUUCUUGUAGGAUAAGAUAUAUUUCUAUACCUAGUUGAUUGUGUAUGUUCUUCCCUGAUUGAACCAAUUCAAAUAAUAAUGUUCACAUGCUCCCCCCACCAUCUCUCCCAUCUUCCCCUCUACUGUAAGAAUUCUUUCAUAUCUCUUUAUGUGUAAUAAUUUAUCCCAUUUUGUUUAUCCCUACCUCCUCCCAGUGCAUUCCUCUUUCUCAUGUCUUAAUUUUAUCUUUUGUUUAGAUGUCCUAUCAUAAUCAACUCACACCCUUGCUCUCUGUCUAUGUUAUAUUGUUUCUAAUUGCCCUAAUAAUGAUAAAGUUCUUAGGAGUUAUAAGAAUAAUUUUUCCAUGUAGAUAUGUAAACAGUUUAACCAUAUUGAGUGACUUUUUAUUUCUUUUUCCUGUUUACUUUUUUAUACUUCUCUUGAAUAUUGUAUUUGGGAGUUUAAGCUCUGGCAUUUUCAUCAGGAAUAUUUGAAAGUCCUCUAUUUCAAUGAAUACCCAUUUUUUCCCCUGAAAGAUUAUAUUCAGUUUUGCUGGGUGAGUGAUUCUUGGCUGAAGUCUUAGCUCUUUUGCCCACUGGAAUAUCAUAUUCCAGGCCCUCCAAUCCUCUAAUGGAGAAAUUGCUAAAUCUUGUGUUAUCUUGACUAUAGCUCCAUGAUAUUUUAAUUAUUUCUUUUUGGCUACCUGCAGUAUUUAUUUGAUUAUUUCUUGAUUUCUCCUGGAGUCAUUAGCUUCCACUUGCCUAAUUCUAAUUUUUAAGGCACAAUUUUCUUGAAUGAACUUUUGUACCUUCUUUUCCACCUGUCCAAUUCUACUUUGUAAAGCAUUCUUUUCCCCAGUGAAUUUUUGUACCUCUUUUUCCAUAUGGCCAAUUCUACUUUUUAAGGAGUUCUUAUCUUCAGUUGAUUUUUGUGGCUCUUUUACUAAUUGGCCUAUUCUGUUUAUAAGAUAUUAAUUUCUUUAUUAUUUUUGUGCCUCCUUUACCAAGCUAUAGAUUUUUUUCAUGAUUUUCCUGUAUCACUCUCAUUUCUUUUCUCAAUUUUUCUUUCUGCCUCUCUUAUUUGACUUUUUAAAGUCCUUUUUUAAUUUCUCCAUUAAUUCUUUAUUUUUUAAACCCUUACCUUCCAUCUUGGAAUCAGUCAAUACUUGGUAUUGGUUCCAAGGCAGAAGAGUGGUAAGAGCUAGGAAAUGGGAGUUAAGUGACUUGCCCAGGGUCAUACAGCUGGGGAGUAUCUGAGGCCAUAUUUGAACCUAGGACCUCCUGUCUCUAGGUCUGGCUCUCAAUCCACUGAGCUACCCAGCUGCCCCCUCCAUUAAUUCUUUUUGAGUUUGAAAGCAAUUCAUAUUUUUCUUGGAGGCUUUGUAGUACUGUAGGAGGCUUGACUUUGUCUUCCUGUUUUGGUCUUUCCUGUCACCAAAAUAACAUUCUAUGUUGAAUUUCUUUUGUUGUUAUUGUUUUUUGCUUGUUUUCCAGCCUUUUCCUUUUUCUUCUCAUUUAAAAAAAAACUGUUAAAUUGAGCUCUAUAACUGUGAUGAAGAGAGCACUAUUCCAGGCUUGAGGUUCUAUGUAUAGAUACUUUCAGAGAUAGUUCUGGGAAUCUAUCUUUCUUCAGUUCUUCCAAGGUGAUAUGAUGUAAGGAGAAGUUUGUUUAAUGUUCCUUCCAACCUGUGCUCUGAUCUAUAACCACGAACACUCUUUUCAGCCUUGAAACUGUGACCACAAUCCCCUACUCCCCUGUGGCCACAAGCACUGGUAUGUGUUGGUGCUCCUUCUCACCCUGCAAUGGCAACCAAAACCACGACUGUAACCUAGAUCUGGUUAUGUGCAAUGAGACAAGAGUCUUGCACCCAAAGCCACAAAGAGUCCCCUGUAAUCGCCUUCUGAGCAAUUAUCUGACCCCAUACUCUUACCAUCUGUGACUGAGAACUACAGAAGCCACAGAGGGUCUGCCUUGGUGUACUGCUUUGUGUUCAACUUCUGGUGUAAUAGACAUGCCAGUCAUCUAAGUUGUUUGAGGCUGAAAAAUUAUUUCACCUCAUCUUUUUGUAGGUUAUUGUGCUCCAGAAUUCAUUUUUAGGCAUUGUAUCACAGUGUUUUGGAGAAUGAUUUGGUAGAGAUCAGGUGGGUCUGUGUACCUUCUCCACCAUCUUGGUUCUGCUCCUAGAAUUUAUUUUUUAAAAGAAAAGUGACCAUUACCCAAGCUUUAUGCAUAUAGAAAAGACAUUUCAUUAAUUUCCUAUCAAGUUUGACAGGGAUGAUUUCUGUCCAAUGUCAGGAUAAAGCUAUACUUUUAGAUUCCAUUCAUUCAUCAAAUGUUGACUUCAAUCCCUCUUGUGUACAGAGCAUUGGCCCUGAAUGAAAUAUAAAGUUUUGUUAAGACAUUGUCUCUGCCUCCCACAUAAUUUACCAUUGUAAUGAUGGGGAGUAGGAAAGAGAACUGAUGGGGGUAAAUGGAAUGUUGAGUAUUGGCAGUUGCAUGAGGCAAGAAUGACAGUUGGGAACUGAACAAGAACUUCUGGGAAAUUCUCUGAGGAGCAGUUUCUUGAGAGCUGAGACACAGAAGAGAGUGGAAGGAGGAGCUGUUUCUCGGGGCCAUUCAAGAUACCUGUGGAGAUUUCUGUCACUGACAGAAAUCCUAAUAUUGAGGGAACCUGUUUAAAGCAUCGAGGAUUCCUGUCAAGAAACCUAAUUUCUUCAAAGACUUUCAUUUCCAUGAACCAUUGAGAUACUGGACUCAAAUUGAGGGCAAUAUUCAGUCAUCAGAGAAGCAAAAUGACUAUCAAACACAGACCAGUGGAGCCUGCCAAUAGCAUCUGCAAGGAAGAAGCAUCCUUGACAAAAGGGAAUCAAGUUUAAAAAUGGAAAUCUUCUCUCCAGCCAAGAUUGACUGAGCUCUCUUUGAUUCAUUUACACUUAAAUAAACCCUCUGGACCACUGACUUCUUUGAAUCAGUUUGCCCUUUGACUGAUUUCACAAUUCUGUGUGUGUGUGUGUGUCCUUUCUCUAUGUGCCUACAAUUUCUACCUUGAGAUUUCCCCCAUCAUUUUUUCCAGUCCUCUCGCUUCCCUUCUAGGUCAGUAGACCACACGUGCCUUGUUGAGGCUGCACCCCCAACACUUUUCAGGGCUGCUCAUGUAAAAGUUAAAAUUAAAUCGUAAUAAUAAUAUUUUAGGAGAUUUAUUAAUGAUCAUUAGAAAUCAAGGAAUAAAGAAGAUACAAAAUAAAGACCACGUGCCCAUGGAUGGUUAGCCUUUUUUUUUUUUUAGUCAACGCUACUCACCACCAUCAAUGCGGACUCUAUAUCAGAGAGAGCAAGCCUCCAAAGCCCAUGCCCUUUAUCCUCUCUCUACAGGAAGUAUGUAAUGACAGGAAGUAAGUGGGCUCUUGGGAUAUGUUGUUCUUUUUUAGGGUAACAGAUUUUCAAUCAUACAGUGACCACCUGUGGCUCCAAGAAGCUGGUGGCAACAGCCACAGCCUGAGCAGAGGGACUAACCAAGGCUAAGGAUAACUGAGAGCCCUCAAACCCAUUGGCUAGUGGGAUGUCUACCUACUACAACAACUAGGUGAAGAAGUCCCAUGUCAGAAUGAGAAAAUAACAAUGGUUUGUUCCAAUGGCCAUGAAGGCAGCUGAAGAAGCAUUGUGUAAUGUUUAGAGCUUGGUCAGACAUGAAGACACUGAGGCUAUCUGCUGCAUCCCGGUCCAUUGCCAGUCCUCUUGACUUUGGUUUUGCCACUGGAGUUUGAUGGCACUUGAAGAAAGAGUGAGGCUGAUGACUUUGAGCAACUCUACCUUACUUAAAUCCAAUUCAAGCCAAGUCAGGACAUCACCCUUGAUAUCACUGGUUCUCUUCCAAAUACAGAAUGAACAACAGAAAGUAACAAGAGAAAAGAAAGAAGUGGAUGUGGUACUGAGUCACUUUCACUGAAAGGACGUGUUCUAAUGGAAAGGAUAUUGGUUUUGUAAUUGGAGGACUGAAGUUCAAAUCUCAGCUCUGUACACAACUCAAUACCUGUGUAACCUUGGGAAAAUCUGUUAACCUCUCUGAGAAUCAGUUUUAUCUUCUAUAAAAUAAAGAAAUUUAUCAGGUGAUCAAUAAGGUCACUUAUGGGUCAAAAUUUACCAACCAGUGAUUUUUGCCAACUCACCUCCAGGAAGGACUCACAUUUGGGUGUACCUAUAUCAUGUCACCAGGAUAUAAUAGAAUAGAGGCUGUCAUUACUUCUUUUUUUGUCUAAUGAGAUGAUUCUGGAUUUUAGAAAGCUCCUCCCAAACUUCUCACCCCAUUCUUGUAUCUUCUCCCUCCAUUUUGCAUCCAAAGUAAUAAUCCAUCUAUUUCCUUCCUCCUCUACCUAUUCAAUCUUUUCUUUCCACUGGGUGCAAAAUGAUCAUCCUUCUCUGUGAACCCCACUUUCAAUAUAGUAUGAAGCAUCCACAAAUAUAAAGAACAAAACAAAACAAACUCACUUGAUUUACUACUUAUGAUAGCAAAAUAAAUAUGGAUUGGAUCAAAUAACUUCUUAACUACAGCUGUGCUCAAAAGAAUGUUGUGUAUUCAAAUGUGAGUCACAGAUCUUAAAGGCUCUUAUGAGAAAGCUCUUAUGAGCUGAUUCAGCCCCCUCCUCCCAUCUUCAAACCAGGCAAGCUUAUACCAUCCCAGACACAAAAAUCUAUUUUGUUCAAAAAAUGUUUUUCAGAAGAAUCUGUGACCUCUUUUAGUAUUCUAUUCCAGUGUUUAGCCAGACUUACUGGCAGGAAAUUUGUCAUCAUCCCCUCUUGUUCUGGCCUCAGUAGAGAUAAAGAACAUCACCACCAUCUUUUGUAGAAGCAUUUUUAAUAUGCAGCAAAAUGGUUUGAUGACCUCUCAGAUUCUCUUCCCUGAAGAAGGAUCUCAGUUAUUUCUACAUUUCCUUGGGUUGGAUCUUGCUGUUAGAGUAUUGUACCAUGCUUCUGAAACCUCCAAGAUAGAAAAAAAAUCCCUCUUUAGUCAUUGUUUCCAGAACCAUACAAAAUAUUUUGCUAAAAUUUGUCACACUUUUAUUCCAAUGAGUCAAUUUCCUAAUGAUUCCCAGACUAAUAAUUAUUAGUUUCACUUAUUGUAUCAUAUCUCCUUUUCAAACUAUACUGCUUAUCUUUACUCGUGUUGAGGUUAUAAUUCAUUUGGAAUACAACCACAAGUCAUCUUCUGUAAUUUCUAUCCAUCCAUAUUUACUUCUUCUUCAUCUUGAAAUAGUAGAGUUUAUUCCUCUCCCCAAGUAAUUAUUCUGAGUUUUUUUGGAAUUAAUUCUUUUGAAGAAAUUGAUUGGUCAGAGAAAUAUCGUAGACAUAAUAUGAAUGAAUAAGUAUAUAAUGUACACACUAAGUCUCUCUCUCAGAGCCAAGCCUACUACAUUGCCCUCAGGGUUCCAGUGGGGUACCCUGAGGAAUUAGGGUGUUUGUUUUCUUUUUUUUUUAAACCCUCACCUUCUGGCUUAAAAUCAGUACUGUGUAUUGGUUCCAAGGCAGAAGAGUGGGUUAAGUGACUGGCCCAGGGUCACACAUCUAGGAAGGGUCUAAGGUCAGAUUUUAAUUCAGGACUCCCACCUCUAUGCCUGGCUCUCCAUACAACUGAGCCACCCAGCAACUCCAGGGUAUUUGUUUUCUAUUAAACUUAAGCCCCCACCAGUCAUGUUACAUCCUUUGUUGAGGGUCUGGGACUAGCAACUUAGUUCCAUAUCCAGUUCAAAUUGAUUAGCUUUUACAAAGCUCUGUUUACUUCUAUGGCAAGAACAAAGUACAUACAUUUCCUCCCUUAUACCACUUAGAAAAGUAAGUUUAAAACGUAGCUGUAUUUCAACAUGGCUCUGAGCAAGAACCAUCAAAUAAAGGUGAAGAGUGUGAAUCUUAAACUGUCUCAAACUCUAUCUUAGAACAUUUGGUUAAGGCUAUUCCCCAUUUUAAACAAUGAAGGUACUUGAUCAGGAAUGUAUUGGGAACUUUAAAAUUACUUCACCCAUACUUAGGCAUACUUUAGGGGAAGAUAAAGUUGUAAAACUCCUUAGUGAACAAUGAAGGUACUUAACUCAUACUUAUAGUGAGGCCAAGCCCUUAAGCUAGGUCUAUUUUUAGAUCUAAUACAAAAGGGUGCUAAGUACCUAUGAAGGUCAAAUUAAUCACUAAAAGGUCAGGCAACUUGCAAGGGACAACCUUAGCAAAGAGGUGUGAAAUACCUCUUUGCUAAGUUUUAGUCUACCCAGAGAAGGUGAUAAGAUGUGAAUUAAGAAUGGUCAGUCCUUUGGAAAACAUCUACUGUGAUUGGUAGAUGUGAAAACUUAGGGGAGGUGAUAUAGGAGAAAAUUCUCUUUAAAAGGAGCUGUCUGAACCAGUUCAAGGGAGUUGAGAAUAGUUCAGCUUAGGAAGCUAAAUUGGGGUCAAUUGGUGGCUAAACUGGAGGGUCUCUCUGAACACUGGAGUUGCUUGGGACAAUCUUGUGGUGAGUGAUUAAGAUGGACUUAGUUUUCUCUCUUAAAAGAAAGGCCUAGGCCAUUGGCCUAGGCCCUAGCCUUCCUAUUAUUUCCUCUUACUCUGUCUCUCUCCUUUUCUUUAAUUCCUUUAUUUGUCUUAAUUGAAAUCUCCAUGAAACCCAGCUGACUUGGGUAUUUCAUAUUUGGGAAUUUUUCCCAUGGCGACCACUUAUUUUUAAUUUAAAUCAAGACACUAAAAAUUAUCUUUACAGUUUGGGCAAUUCACAGUCUUGAAACCAUAUUUUCACGGUCACAGUUUAUGGUAACCACUCUUUUGUCUGUAACAGUUUAUGGCAACCACUCUUUUGUCUGUAACAAGAACAUGGAGGCAACAAGGGGUGACCAGAGGAACAAAGAAAUGUAAAGCAUGCAGGAAGUUUUGUAUAGGUAGAAAUGGUAACUGGUUGGAUAAGGUGUAACUGGUGUGUGUGUGUGUGUGUGUGUGUGUGUGUGUGUGUGUGUGUGUGAGUGUGUGUGUCUUUAAUGACUCUGUGCCCAAUCCAAGAGUCAUAAUUAAAUGACUAGAACUCGUUACAGAAUUUCUAUCCAUACUCCAUAAGCUUGCCCAAGUACCUCUAUUUUAUAUGUUUUGCAUGAUAAUAUAUGAAGGAAAAGAGGGAGGGAAACAAUUUGGAUCAUAUAACUUUAGAAAACUUAUGUGGAAAUUUGUAAUACAUAUAAUUAGUAAAAAUAUGUAUCUUUAUUAAAAAAACAACAACAAAGUACUUCCAUUUUUAGGAUGAUGACUCUGUAGGAAGCAAGCUUCCCACUCUCCUCUAACUAAAAAAAUGCCACCUGAGGCUUUCUUCAUUAGGUGCCAGAUUCUUAUUGCAAAUGAAUGCCAAAGCAUUUAUGAACUGCUUACUAUGUACAAAACACACCAUGCUAAAUGCAGAAUGUGAAUAUGAAUAGAAAAGACCUUCCCAUCUAGUCUCAAGGAAUUCACAUUCUAAUGGGGGAGAUAAUACAUAAAAAUAAAUAAUAGAUAAAAUAGAUAGAAAGUUCUCAUGAUCUUUAGGGUACAGUAGCAAAGCAGAUGAUGAUGCAUUAAUUUUAGUGUCAUUUCCACUGAUAUCAUAAAUAAUAACCAUAAAAAUAAAUAAAAGUAAAUAAUAAAAUAAAUAAAAAUAAAAAAAUCAUAAUUAUUACUAUUUGAUAAUGCCAUGGAUUUUGGUAGUAAUAAUUUUACAAUGGGUUGAAUAUUAAAACUAAAUUAUUCACAAAUCAUAAAAUCCAAUUAAAAAGCACUUUGCUAAUUAAAGAUUAUGAAAACAAAACUCUAGAGUUUAAAGGUUAUAAAAUCCUAACCCUCUUCCCCAGUCACCAUAGCAACGAAGUCUUUAGCAGAUCACCUUUUAGUUAUAAGAGAUGCCCUUCAAUAUUUAUAACCAUGCUUUGUAGUGACAAAAAAAUUGGAAAAUGAGGGGAUGCCCUUCAGUUGAGGAAUGGCUGAACAAAUUGUGGUAUAUGUUGGUGAUGGUAUACUAUUGUGCUAAAAGGAAUAAUAAAGUGGAGGAAUUCCAUGUGAAUUGGAAUGACCUCCAGGAAUUGAUGCAGAGUGAGAGGAGCAGAGCCAGGAGAACAUUGUACACAGAGACUGAUACACUGUGGCAUAAUCUAACAUAAUGGACUUCUCUACUAGCAGCAAUGCAAUGAUCCAGGACAAUUCUGAGAAAGAACACUAUCCACAUCCAGAAGAAGAACUGUGGGAGUAGAAACCCAGAAGAAAAACAACUGCCUGUUCACAUGGGUUGAUGAGGAUAUGACUGGGGAUGUAGACUCUAAAUGAUCACCCUCGUGCAAUUAUCAAUUAAUUAAAUAUUUAAAAUUUUUCAAUUAAUAAAAGAUCCCCUUCAAGUCCUGUGGCUAGUAAGAGCUCUGUUUUCUCAUUUUCCUUUUGAGUGGGACAGACAUAGAUGGACUGUGACAGAUUAUAGAUUUUGUUUCUUUAUUUCUCCUCUAAAAACUACCUCUCACUGAUACAGAGGGAAAUAAGGAAAACAUUGGACACAGUAACAGCAAUAUUUUGGAACAAUCAAAUGUGAUAGGCUUAGCAAUACAAUGAUCCAGGACAAUUCUGUGGGACUUAGGACAAAGAACGCUACCCACCUCCCUAGAAAGAACAGUUGGGUUCAGAAUGCAGAUGAAAGCAUAUGACUUUUCACAUGUUUAUUUGAAUUUAUGUUUUAGGGUUUUGGUUUUAUAAGAUUACUCACUUAAAAAAUGAACAGUAUGGAAAAUAUAUUUUACAUGAGAAUGCAUGUAUAACCCAGAUCAAAUCACCUGCCUGCACAGGGAGGGAAAAUGGAAAGGAGGAAGGGAGAUAAGUUUGAUCAUAUAACUUAGGAAAACUUGGUGGAAAUUUAUUAUUACAUAUAAUUGGAAAAAAUAAAAUGAAGCUAAAAACCACCUCUCUUCCAGACUUCACCACUACUGCUAAAGGCCACAUCUUUCUGGUCAUUCAGUUGCCAAAUCUUACCAUUUUUACCUCCACAUCUUGCCUGUGCCCUUCUCACUACUUACAAAACUACCACCACAGUUGCAAUAGUUUCCUAAUUACUAUCACUGCCAUAAGCGUCUCCUGUCUCCAAACCAUCCUCCAUACAACUGCCAAACUGAUUUUUUUAAAUCCUUACCUUUUGUCUUAGAAUCAAUACUAAGUAUCAGUUCCAAGGUAGAAGAGUGGUAAGGGUUAGGCAGCUGGGGUUAAGUGAUUUGCCCAGGGUAACACUGCACUAGCUAAUAUCCACAGUGAUUUGAACCAAUCAAAUUUGAAUGAUUUGAACCCAGUACCUCCCAUCUCCAGGCCUAAUUCUCUCUCAUUGAGCCACCUAGCUGCCCUAAAACAAGAUUUUCUUAAAAUGCAGGUAUUAAUAUGUCUUUCCCCUACUCAGUAAAUUCCAGUUGUUCCUUAUUGCCUCAAGAUCAUUUUAUUUUAUCUGAAUCUUUCUAAAAUUUUUUUUCUGUGUGGAUUUUAUAAUAUAUGUAGCUAUUAAUAAACUAUAGUAUUUAUAACUUAUAAGUAAGUAAAUAAACAAACACUGGAGAUAGGAUAACAUUCUGUUUUUAAUGAGACAAGGUAUGUGAUCAAAAGGUUUGAAGAUGAUUGCCCCAUGACACAUUUCUAUCUCCUAUCUUAGACUUUGUGUAAUGCAGUAUCAUUAAUCUAUUAAUUAUAUUAUGUAUAAGUUAUCUAUUAAUCCAUUAAUCUAUUCAUCUAUCUUCUCUUAAAAAGAAGCUAUGUUGGUUGGGAAUCCCUUUGUCUUUAUAAAAUGACAUUGCUUAUCAUCCCAUUCUAUUCGAGAUGCUUCUGAAAUCACAUUAUAUUUUUGCCUAAACUUCCCUACAUGUAAAAGCUGGCAGCCUAGAUCUCUAAUUUCCAAGAGGAAAGAAAUAAAUAGAAAUAAGAUCUGUCAUUUCCAAGCUAUCUCAUUACUGUGUAUAAUGUGGGACAUUGGUCAAGCCAACUGCCUGGGACUCAGUUUUCUCAUCUGUAAGAUGAGGAGUUUGGCCUAAAUCCCUCCCAACCUUAAAUCCUCUCAUCAGUGUCAGCAGUCUAGGAUUAGUCCUGCUGACAGCUUCCCUGUCCAGACGUCCUGACCCAACAGGGUGUAAACAGAUCUUUCUUUACCGGCUCUACUGAAGCCGCACCUACAAAUCAGCAGUUAUCGGGGGAGCCCAGACAUCCCAACUGAGAGGCAAUGGGGACAUCAAAGCAUAGCAGCUGAGCAGCUGGCACCCAGCAGCCACUCCUGAAAAAUGAAAUCAGUAUAGGAAAGUGUUUGUCAUGUUAGGACCAUUCUAAAGCUAGAAUGUUUAUGCUAGAGUUUGGAGAGAGACAGAGUUAAGCCAUGAUGGUGUCUGGAAUUCCUUCCUCGACAGACCCUUUGGUGUAGACACACUUUGUGUGUCUCCUGAGGCAAGGCAAACAUGGCAUAGCCUUCUGUUUUGAGAAGGCAGGGACUACGAACUUCUGGGAGAAGAGCCUUUCGUGGGUAGCUGAAUGUGUUUAUAUGGAAUGAGUUGGUAAAUUGGACUGAUCAGAUCACUGAUGAGAACUUGCCCCAGACCUAGCUCAUUCAGAUUGUGACCACGAGUAUCCUGGCAAAUGUUUAGCAACCUACUCUCCAAAAAAAAAAAAGAUUUUAAUGUGUACACAAUAUAUUUUUACACGUAAUUUGCAUUAUUAACUUUUUCCUCCAUCACUCUUUUAAGUCUAGGCAAUAAAAAAUAAAACCAUGCCCUGAUUUAUAGUUUGCCAGUUUCCAAGGUACAAAUGUUCAGAUUGAAAAUUUACCAGUUGGCUCUUAUGAAGUUCUAGCUUGCUUAAAAACAAUCUUGGAUAUGUCUGAGACUAUGUCUUGAGACUUCCUAUUUCUAUUUUCAAAGAAGAACCUUCUAAGAAUAUAAAUAACACCCUCUGAAAAGAGUCAACUACUUCUAGGGAAAGAGGGCUACCAUAAAGUGAAUCACUUAAACUGGCUUUCAGGGGUCUUCACAAUCGGGUCUCUUGCUACUCCACCAACCUUGUCUUUCUUGUCUUUCAUUGACUCGCCACUCCAGCCAAACUGGGCUAUUCAUCUCUCUCCAGAAUACUGUGCUUGAGUCUUCCCCUCAUCUGCAUGACCUGCCCGCUCUUAUUUACUGAUGUCCUACUUUCCCUUAAAGGCUUGAAGCAAGUCCUUCUCUCUCUGUAAAGUUUCUCCCAAUAUUGUUAUUCCAUGGAGGUCACUCCCUCCUAUGAACUCCCACAGGGCUUAUUUCAUUUCCAGUUCACUGAUGUAUCAUUUGGAACUGUGGUGUAUUGGAUAGUGUCAGACCUGGAGUCAGACUCAUCUUCCUGAGUUCAAAUCUGACCUGAGACACUUAUUAGCUAUGUGACCCUGGAAAAGUCAUGAAACUCUGUUUGCCUCAGUUUCUUCAUAUGCAAAAUUAUCUGGAGAGGGAAAUGGUAACCUAUUCCAUUAUCUUUGCCAAUAAAACCCCAAAUGAAGUCAGAAAGAAUUGGACAUAACUGAAUAACAACAAACCCCACUUGGGAUUACUGUUAGAACAACAAGGAAAACGAUGCAGACAAUAUGUGAGAACAGGAUAGAAGAGAUGCAGUUUUACUACAAAGAUCUUGGCUGUUUUCCCCAGGUAGUGAUUAGCCAACAUAUUUAAGUUACAAGAUGCUAUCAAUAGUGAUAUUGGUUCUAUAAUUUUGAAAUUAGCACCCUCACUUCUGCAAUGACUUGUAAGAAUUAAAUUAAUAUCAAAUACUUCAAGUAUUAUUUUUAUAAAGUUUAUUAUCUGACAAAAUAGAACCACAUGACUAAGUUUUGUGCCUGCUCCACCAAAACUGCCAACAGAAAGGAAAGAAGGCUUGACAGAGAAAUCCACCCAAUUUAUCUCCUGUCUACAUCAGCAGAUAAUGAUAGGAAGCAAGUGGGCUCCUGUAGUUUUACUGGGAAUCUUAGUUUUUAGGAUAACAGAUUCCAAUUUCACAGAUUGCAAAGGAAACACUUGUUUGAGAAUAAGAUACGGACCUGGGUAGG